rnacentral:rRNA from 1 species
CCCUUAGAUGUUCUGGGCCGCACACGCGCUACACUGAAGGAGGCAGCGUGUACUCCUGGAUCGAAAGAUUUGGGUAACCCGCGAAUCUCCUUCGUGCUAGGGAUUGAGGUUUGCAAUUAUCCUUCAUGAACGAGGAAUUCCCAGUAAGUGCAAGUCAUAAGCUUGCGCUGACUACGUCCCUGCCCUUUGUACACACCGCCCGUCGCUACUACCGAUUGAAUGAUUUAGUGAGGUCUUCGGACUGGGACCGAUGCGGCUUUCGGGCUGCGUCGGUAUUCUGGAAAGAUGUCCAAACUGUAUCAUUUAGAGGAAGUAAAAGUCGUAACA